ACGGAAGGCAGCAGUGGGGAAUAUUGCACAAUGGGGGAAACCCUGAUGCAGCGACGCCGCGUGAGUGAAGAAGUUAUUCGUAAUGUAAAGCUCUAUCAGCAGGGAAGAGAAUGACGGUACCUGACUAAGAAGCCCCGGCUAACUACGUGCCAGCAGCCGCGGUAAUACGUAGGGGGCAAGCGUUAUCCGGAUUUACUGGGUGUAAAGGGAGCGUAGACGGUCUGGCAAGUCUGAUGUGAAAGGCAGGGGCUCAACUCCUGGACUGCAUUGGAAACUGUCAGUCUUGAGUGCCGGAGAGGUAAGCGGAAUUCCUAGUGUAGCGGUGAAAUGCGUAGAUAUUAGGAGGAACACCAGUGGCGAAGGCGGCUUGCUGGACUGUAACUGACGUUGAGGCUCGAAAGCGUGGGGAGCAAACAGGAUUAGAUACCCUGGUA
rnacentral:rRNA from 1 species